UGCACCCUCGCUUGGGUUGCUGUGGAAAGUGUUGGAGUUAUCAGUGCGACAUUAGGCAGAGAGGGAGGGGUGCCUAGGCUAUUCAAAAGUCGUGACGCUCUCAUGUAUUUUUAGUUUUUGAAGUAACUUCGUCGAGCAGUGAACGCAACCACUCAGCUGUGCGAAACAAGUGGAGUAGACCGCUGUACUGUGGUUGUUCUUUUUCAAAAGGGAGAUAUUCGUGAUAAAGCGCCUAGGUUUGGGCACGAGUUCGUGUUGCUGCCAAGAUUUAGAUUCGGUCCAGUCAAUAUCUAUAUCUAGAUCUAGAUCUAGAGUCUUCAUAUAUUUGGGUUGAGUAACAAAGUCGAGAGUACAAGUACAGGAUUUUUACUUUUGUAACAGUGACAUAGUUGCAACUGACAUGGCAGUUUUUGUGUCGACGCUGCUGUUCGUAUUGUGUUUGUCAAGCUUAUGUGUCGGAGCCGGAGGUGAAGAUGUCGAUAAGGAUGGACAGAUCAACCGAAAUGAGAUGGGGAUGGCCGUUCUUUAUGACAUGGUUCAUGUGUUCCUCGGAGAUGUCUUACAGAAGGAGAAAAUAA